GUUUGAUAUAUGUAUACAGCAUCUCAAGCAGAUCAAGUUUGUUAUAUUCCGUAUCCAUAUACGAAGAAACCAAAGAACAUUUGGCUCAAUGUUUUAAAAGUUAAU
rnacentral:sRNA from 1 species